GUGUAUGUAUUAAAUCUUCCUCACUCGCUGACUCCGCAGACCGGCUGGCUCCACACUUCCAGCAAUCCUGUGAUGAAGUGGUACACCUGGCAGAGUAAUUUUGAAACACGGGGUUAGCGUAUCUUCCCUUACAGUAUUUACUUCCUCUAAGUUAGUUUAGCUUUUUAAUUUUUAUCUUAUGUGUACGAGUGCUUUGCCUGCAUAUAGGAGUUGUUUACCUCGUGCUCUCGGAAGCCAGAAGAGGGCAUCAGAACCUCCACAACAUGGAUGCUGUGAGAUCCAUCCAGGGUCCUUUAGAAGAGCAGCUGUUGUGUUUUAUAAAAAGUUAAGGAGAGAAGAAAUAAUGUUUGGUGAAUGUACAGUCAGGUGUAGGGGAAUGGGGUUCCUCUGUGGGCCCAAGCUGAGGCAUCCCUUUCCCUUGAAGGACCAGCCACACGACCAGCUUCUUCAUAGUUGGCUAGCUGGUCUAAAGGCUUUCUGUGAGUCUCCUCUGCCUCCCACCUCACUAUAGGAGUUCUAGGACCAUAGACAUGCAUCCGGCUUUAUGCGGGUUCUGGGAAUAGAACUCAGGGCCUCAGGAAUUCCCCUGCAGGUGCUUUACCCCUGACUCACAUUCUGUAGCUCCUCUGAAUCCUGACCCGUAUUACAGUUGAAGUUUGUGAACAGUCCUCCCGGCCCCGUGCGUGCACAGGAGGUCACCCUUCAGGAUGUCCCUGAGUCUCCCAUGUCCUUGGAAGCUGGAAGAAUUUCCCUCCUCCUCAGCCUAUGCACAGCGCUCCGUCCCUUCUCUGUCCUGCUCUAGGAGAAAGACAAUGUGUGGGACUCUGGACUACUUACCCCCCGAAAUGAUAGAGGGGAAAUCCUACAACGAGACGGUGGAUCUGUGGUGCAUUGGGGUGCUCUGCUAUGAGCUGCUGGUGGGAAAGCCGCCCUUCGAGAGCAGCACCUCCAGUGAGACAUGCAGACGCAUCUGCCAG
rnacentral:lncRNA from 1 species